UAUAUACUUCAUCCGUCCCAAAAAAAUUAUCUUAAAUUUGUCUAGAUAUAAAUGUAUCUAGUCGCGUUUUAGUAUUUUGAUAUAUUCAUUUGUAGACAAACCUAAGACAAGAAUUUUGAAACGAAGGGAGUAUAAG
rfam:Hordeum vulgare subsp. vulgare, WGS project CAJW01000000 data, contig: morex_contig_2549572